rnacentral:misc_RNA from 1 species
GUGAAAUAGGACGCUCGAACGAGAAUUCUUGUUAAAUACACUGUCAGGCGCAAGGUUCGUCCAAUUCACCGCCGAAUACCGAUGGAUGAGCAAGGUGAACUGUUUUAAGAAGAUAUACGAUCCUCUGCGAGGCAAAGGUCUCAGCAACGUGCACCGACUGGAAUUAUCGUGGUUCGAAGAAUAUCGUUUAUAAGCGAAUUGAUAGGCAGACGGACAAGGAUCAACGA